UGAGGAAUAUUGGUCAAUGGGCGGGAGCCUGAACCAGCCAAGUAGCGUGCAGGAUGACGGCCCUAUGGGUUGUAAACUGCUUUUGUAUGGGGAUAAAGUCAAUCACGUGUGAUUGUUUGCAGGUACCAUACGAAUAAGGACCGGCUAAUUCCGUGCCAGCAGCCGCGGUAAUACGGAAGGUCCGGGCGUUAUCCGGAUUUAUUGGGUUUAAAGGGAGCGUAGGCCGGAGAUUAAGUGUGUUGUGAAAUGUAGACGCUCAACGUCUGACUUGCAGCGCAUACUGGUUUCCUUGAGUACGCACAACGUUGGCGGAAUUCGUCGUGUAGCGGUGAAAUGCUUAGAUAUGACGAAGAACUCCGAUUGCUAAGGCAGCUGACGGGAGCGCAACUGACGCUUAAGCUCGAAGGUGCGGGUAUCAAACAGGAUUAGAUACCCUGGUAGUCCGCACAGUAAACGAUGGAUGCCCGCUGUUGGUACCUGGUAUCAGCGGCUAAGCGAAAGCAUUAAGCAUCCCACCUGGGGAGUACGCCGGCAACGGUG
rnacentral:rRNA from 1 species